UGAGACAAGGACUCAAUGUAUGUGAGCCAGGCUGACUUCAAACUCACAAUACUUCUGUUUAAACCUUUGCAGUGCCAAGAAUACUAGCAGAUACUACCAGGUACAGCUUUCAAAAGCAAUGUGAGUCACAUUGCUGGCAUUGUCGAAGUUCCUGAAGAGAGCCCAGGAAAGGCCACUGGUGAAAGUGUAGCCCAGUUACAGCAGGUGCCAGUACCAUGGGAUGACUACCAAGAACAGCAGCACCAGGGGAGUACAGCCAGCUGAAGACUAGUAGACAAGCUUUAUAGGACGGAGCCAGCGAAGUGACUCAAGCCUUGUGGAGGAGCCCAGAAGAUCAUGAGUUAAUCCCAGACAUUGGACAUUGAGUUAUUUAUGUGGAGCCCACAGUUGACCUCCAGGAUUGCAAAGCAAACUCCAGGAGUGCCCAGUGACUGAUAAGAAUUACGAAUUACCUCCUGGGUGACUAGAAUGUGGUUCCAACUCCACAAUAGGGAGCAACCAACUUAGCCUUGGAUCCACUGGCACCUGGAAGCGUAAUCACCAGGGACAUGGCCUCAACUAUACCAAUCAGAGGCAAAGAAGGGUAGAUAAGAUAAGAUAAGAACACACUCAACACCAUAAAGAGCAAUACAACAUGGACAAAAACUAGUGACUCACAAACAGCAAGACUUGAACACCUCAAUACAGAUGAAGCAGAAGAAAAUGACCUAAUAACUUUAGAAAAAUGUUUGAGGCUAUUAAAGCAGAUAUGAAAAAUUCUCUCAAAGAAUGGAGGAAAAGAAAAGCAAAAAAUUGAAAGUGAUCAACAAAUCCCUUAAAGAAAAUCAAGAAAAAGCAAUCAAACUUAUGAGAAAAACUAUUAAAGACUUGUAAACUUAGAGACAAUAAAGAAAACACAAACUGAGAAAAUUCUGGAAAUGGAAAAUAUUGGGAAAUUAUCAGAAAACACUAGUGCAAGCAUAAACGGCAGAAAACAAGAGACGGAAAAAAGAAUAUCAAAUAUUGAAGAUACAAUAAAGGAAAUAGAUUCAUCAGUCAAAGAAAACAUUGAAUAUAACAAAACUUGAUACAAAAUAUCCAGGAA